AGUGAACGCUGGCGGUAGGCCUUACACAUGCAAGUUGAACGGCAGCACAGGAGAGCUUGCUCUUUGGGUGGCGAGUGGCGGACGGGUGAGGAAUACAUUGGAAUUUACUUUGUUGUGGGGGAUAACGUAGGGAAAAUUACGCUAAUACCGCAUUCGACCUACGGGUGAAAGCAGGGGAUUUUUGGGCCUUGCGCGAUUGAAUGAGCCGAUGUUGGAUUAGCUAGUUGGCGGGGUAAAGGCCCCCCAAGGGGACGAUCCGUAGGUGGUUUGAGAGGAUGAUCAGCCCCACUGGAAAUGAGACACGGUCCAGACUCCUUCGGGAGGCAGCAGUGGGGAAUAUUGGACAAUGGGGGCAAGCCUGAUCCAGCCAUUCCGCGUGGGGGAAGAAGGCCUUCGGGUUGUAAAGCCCUUUUGUUGGGAAAGAAAUCCAGCCGGGUUAUACCUGGUUGGGAUGUUGGAAAGCAAAGAAUAAGCCCCGGCUAACUUUGUG
rnacentral:rRNA from 1 species